rnacentral:rRNA from 1 species
AUACGUAGGUGGCAAGCGUUAUCCGGAAUUAUUGGGCGUAAAGAGUGAGCAGGCGGUUAAUUAAGUCUGAGGUUAAAGCGUGGGGCUCAACCCCAUAAAGCCUUGGAAACUGAUUGACUAGAGUACGGGAGAAGUGAAGGGAACUCCAUGUGUAGCGGUUAAAUGCGUAGAUAUAUGGAAGAACACCAGUGGCGAAGGCGCUUCACUAGCCCGAAACUGACGCUCAGUCACGAAAGCGUGGGUAGCAAAUAGGAUUAGAUACCCUAGUAGUCCACGCUGUAAACGAUGACAACUAAAUAUUGCCGCGAGGCAGUGUUGAAGCUAACGCAUUAAGUUGUCCGCCUGGGGAGUACGGUCGCAAGACUGAAACUUAAAGGAAUUGACGGGG